UACGAAGGGGGCUAGCGUUGUUCGGAGUUAUUGGGCGUAAAGCGCGCGUAGGCGGCCACUUAAGUCGGAUGUGAAAGCCCUUGGCUCAACUGAGGAAGUGCACCCGAAACUGAAUGGCUUGAGUACUAAAGAGGGUCGCGGAAUUCCCGGUGUAGAGGUGAAAUUCGUAGAUAUCGGGAGGAACACCGGUGGCGAAGGCGGCGACCUGGGUAGAUACUGACGCUGAGGCGCGAAAGCGUGGGGAGCAAACAGG
rnacentral:rRNA from 1 species